AGAAAAAUAAAUCCUCUAAAAAAGACCCAUGUUGGACCAAAAAGGGGAGGGAGAGACGGCUACCUCUUUUCUCUUUCACGAUUAAAAAAAAGGAUAGAAGAUAUUUAUCUCUCUCUCACUCAGAAACAAGAAAAAGGAGAGUUGUUUCCUCUCUCACCAUCGUUGGACACCUUUUCUUCUCCUCACCACUGCUCACCUUUCCUCUUUCUCUCACUUCCACCUCCAUCAUCGGUGCAUUUCUUUCUCUUCCGGAGUCGCCACCACUCUAACAACCACCGCCAGUUUCCUCGCCUUUUUAACCACGCCAUCUCUGAAUCCACUUUCCCUUAG